rnacentral:snRNA from 1 species
UGACUUGCACGAAGAAGU